GACGAACGCUGGCGGCGUGCUUAACACAUGCAAGUCGAACGGAAAGGCCCUGCUUUUGUGGGGUGCUCGAGUGGCGAACGGGUGAGUAACACGUGAGUAACCUGCCCUUGACUUUGGGAUAACUUCAGGAAACUGGGGCUAAUACCGGAUAGGAGCUCCUGCUGCAUGGUGGGGGUUGGAAAGUUUCGGCGGUUGGGGAUGGACGCGCGGCUUAUCAGCUUGUUGGUGGGGUAGUGGCUUACCAAGGCUUUGACGGGUAGCCGGCCUGAGAGGGUGACCGGCCACAUUGGGACUGAGAUACGGACCAGACUCCUACGGUAGGCAGCAGUGGGGAAUAUUGCACAAUGGGCGGAAGCCUGAUGCGGCAACGCCGCGUGCGGGAUGACGGCCUUCGGGUUGUAAACCGCUUUCGCCUGUGACGAAGCGUGAGUGACGGUAAUGGGUAAAGAAGCACCGGCUAACUACGUG
rnacentral:rRNA from 1 species